rnacentral:tRNA from 1 species
GGUAGCGGUCAAACGGUCAACACCAUGGACUUCAGAUCCUUCUGUCCCGGGUUCGAAUUCCUGCGCUGCCG